rnacentral:rRNA from 1 species
AGCGAACGCUGGCGGCAGGCCUAACACAUGCAAGCCGAACGGAUCCUUCGGGAUUAGUGGCGGACGGGUGAGUAACACGUGGGAACGUGCCCUUUGGUUCGGAACAACUCAGGGAAACUUGAGCUAAUACCGGAUGUGCCCUUCGGGGGAAAGAUUUAUCGCCAUUGGAGCGGCCCGCGUCUGAUUAGCUAGUUGGUGAGGUAACGGCCCACCAAGGCGAUGAUCAGUAGCUGGUCUGAGAGGAUGAUCAGCCACACUGGGACUGAGACACGGCCCAGACUCCUACGGGAGGCAGCAGUGGGGAAUCUUGCGCAAUGGGCGAAAGCCUGACGCAGCCAUGCCGCGUGAAUGAUGAAGGUCUUAGGAUUGUAAAAUUCUUUCAGCGGGGACGAUAAUGACGGUACCCGCAGAAGAAGCUCCGGCUAACUUCGUG